rnacentral:lncRNA from 1 species
UAAUAAUUUAUUUCUAGUUAUAGACAAAAAUAUAAAUAGAUAUAUUUAUGGUAGAAAUAUAUCUUAAAAGUUCUAUUUCUGGUAGCUAGAUAAUAUUAAUUAUUUGUUUGAUGGAAGUCCCUCAAAAACAAUAAUGCCUAACGAUUUCAAAAAGAAAAAAAAAACUGGUAGUCUUGCAAAAUAGGACUGUUUUGUUUUUUUAAUCAACUAUAGGAAUACAACUUAGACACGAAAAUACACAUAUUUUAAAAUAUAUAUGCAUUAUGCAAAUGUAUAUAUGCAUAUAUGUUAUGUCUGAGAAAUUUCAACUAGUUUUUGACCACCCAAAUUCCAUUUUCCACGUCUGCCAAUGAGAAAGGUGGGAAAAGCAUAGAGAAACUGUCUUUACUGGAAUGUAAACUGUUAAAGCAACUGAUGUAGUAUGUGCAUAACAGGUCACUGGUUCUCUUCUUCAGAAUAAACACUACUGUUGGUAUGGCCACUAGAGUAAUGUUUUAAAUUCCUCUGAAACCCAAGGGUUCAAUCAAUAGCUGAUUGUUUUCCUUUCUUUAUCUUUGUUCUCUAAAUUCUAAACAUAAAAUAAGUACAACCAGGUUUGAGAAUGUGUUUCAAACUCUGAGCUCUCAUCCCAGUUCUACCUCUCACUAAUUGCAUGACCUUAGACAGUUGGUGGGACUUCCCUGGGUCAUAGUUUCUUUUUCCAUAAAAUGGAGAAAACAAAAUAAUUACACAUAGGCUUCUUGUAGAUAGGAAAUGAGAACAUAUUUAAAUAACAGUGCAAUGACUGAUGUUGUGCCAAAACAUAUUAGUUACAAAAAUAAUGUAGAGCCAACGAAGUACUCUCUUUUUUCAUCAAACAGAAAUUUUAUUCUACCCCCCUUAGUAAAAACACAUAUAUAACUUAAACAUAUCAUUGUAUUUGGUCAGAAUGAUAAACUGUCUUCCAAAUCACAAGGCAAAAACAAGUUUUUUAUUUCUCCCCUUGGCUGCUUUGAUAAUCAACAUUCACAGCAAGGUAAUUCCAUCUUAAUUCAUCCUAUUGAAGUCUCUUUAUUCCUUUCCCCCCUAUCUAUUUUUUGUUAAUUAUUCACUAGAUUAUCUGUACCUAUUGAAAAGUAUUAAAUCUAAUGCGCUAACUCCCUCAAACCAAUGAAAAAUGUAAUGGAAACAUUAAUAAAA